CAGCAGCCACGGUAAUACGUAGGGUGCAAGCGUUAAUCGGAAUUACUGGGCGUAAAGCGUGCGCAGGCGGUUUGUUAAGACAGAUGUGAAAUCCCCGGGCUCAACCUGGGAACUGCAUUUGUGACUGGCAAGCUAGAGUCUGGCAGAGGGAGGUGGAAUUCCGCGUGUAGCAGUGAAAUGCGUAGAUAUGCGGAGGAACACCGAUGGCGAAGGCAGCCCCCUGGGCCAACACUGACGCUCAUGCACGAAAGCGUGGGGAGCAAACAGGAUUAGAUACCCGCGUAGUCCCUGUCUCUUAUAU
rnacentral:rRNA from 1 species